UGAGGAAUAUUGGGCAAUGGGCGGAAGCCUGACCCAGCAACGCCGCGUGGAGGAAGACGGCCUUCGGGUUGUAAACUCCUUUUACGGGGGAAGAGGAAGGACGGUACCCCGAGAAUAAGUCACGGCUAACUACGUGCCAGCAGCCGCGGUAAUACGUAGGUGACAAGCGUUAUCCGGAAUUACUGGGCGUAAAGCGCACGCAGGCGGCGCAUUAAGUCUGAUGUGAAAUCUCCCGGCUUAACUGGGAGGGGUCAUUGGAAACUGAUGUGCUUGAGGCGGUGAGAGGGGUGUAGAAUUCCCGGUGUAGUGGUGGAAUGCGUAGAUAUCGGGAGGAAUACCAGUGGCGAAAGCGGCACCCUGGCACUAGCCUGACGCUCAUGUGCGAAGGCGUGGGGGAGCGAACGGGGAUUAGGAUACCCCGGUAGUCCACGCGGUAAACGAUGAGUACUAGGUGUAGGUGGAGUGAAACUCCAUCUGUGCCGAAGCAAAACGCGCUAAGUACUCCGCCU
rnacentral:rRNA from 1 species